AGAGUUUGAUCCUGGCUCAGGACGAACGCUGGCGGCGUGCCUAACACAUGCAAGUCGAACGAGAAUCUUUGAACAGAACUUUUCGGAGUGACGUUCAAAGAGGAAAGUGGCGGACGGGCGAGUAACGCGUGAGUAACCUGCCCAUAAGAGGGGGAUAAUCCAUGGAAACGUGGACUAAUACCGCAUAUUGUAAUAAAAUCGCAUGAUUUAAUUAUGAAAGAUUUAUCGCUUAUGGAUGGACUCGCGUCAGAUUAGAUAGUUGGUGAGGUAACGGCUCACCAAGUCAACGAUCUGUAGCCGAACUGAGAGGUUGAUCGGCCGCAUUGGGACUGAGACACGGCCCAGACUCCUACGGGAGGCAGCAGUGGGGAAUAUUGCGCAAUGGGGGCAACCCUGACGCAGCAACGCCGCGUGCAGGAAGAAGGUCUUCGGAUUGUAAACUGUUGUCGCAAGGGAAGAAGACAGUGACGGUACCUUGUGAGAAAGUCACGGCUAACUACGUGCCAGCAGCCGCGGUAAUACGUAGGUGACAAGCGUUGUCCGGAUUUACUGGGUGUAAAGGGCGCGUAGGCGGACUGUCAAGUCAGUCGUGAAAUACCGGGGCUUAACCCCGGGGCUGCGAUUGAAACUGACAGCCUUGAGUAUCGGAGAGGAAAGCGGAAUUCCUAGUGUAGCGGUGAAAUGCGUAGAUAUUAGGAGGAACACCAGUGGCGAAGGCGGCUUUCUGGACGACAACUGACGCUGAGGCGCGAAAGUGUGGGGAGCAAACAGGAUUAGAUACCCUGGUAGUCCACACCGUAAACGAUGGAUACUAGGUGU
rnacentral:rRNA from 1 species